rnacentral:lncRNA from 1 species
AGUGCCAUCCAAGUCUUGCAUGAAAUAAGAUGUUUUUUUGUUUCUGGCUUUUCUGUGGUACUCAUCAAUAUAGUGUCUGAAUAUCUCAACAAUUUUGGUGAAUUAAUCCUCACAAUGUACCCUCAGAUGUCUGGAAUGAUUUAAAUUCCUCAUUGUAGAAAAUUAUGAGAGAAAUGAUGUGACUUUUUUGUGGCCACACAGAGAGUCUGCAUCAAAGACAGGAAGACAACUUAGAUUUGUUCAUUCUAAGGGGUGCCAAGGAUCUCCUGAACUCAUCCUACAGAAGGAGCACUCUGAGCAUUCAUGCUCUUUCAGCAAACCCACAGUUCAUCUGUAGCAUAAACUUCUCCAACAGGGGUGGGAUACCAUGGACAGGGACCUCAUUCCCACUGCACCAUAUAUGUAAUCCUGUGACUUAGUGAAAGCAGCUCUAAGGAUUCAUCACUGCAAGAUUUGCAAAGCCCUUGAAGAUACUCGGAUCAUCAGCACAAUGAAGGGCAAAGUUAUGACAUUUUGUUGUUACAAUCUUUUGCAGAAAUUUCUGAUUUGCAUUCUCUAGGAUUAUUGCCAACAUGAGGUAUUUUACAUCAUAUCUUUCUAAAAAGUCUCAAGCAGGGGCAGUGGUAUGGGUGUAAGAAAUCAACAACUUACACAUGGACUGCUUCUGGAAUGUUGAAGAUCAUAACUAUGAAUUACAACUUUAUGAAACGCUCUUUGUACACUGCACUUGUGCUCCAAGUGCACAAAAACACACAAUAAAUUAGCCUGAUGUACUGCUACCUUAAGGAUCUGUCUCACACCUACCAAAUUCAAAAAACUGGGAAUAAAGCUUCGUGGCUGUUCUAUUGUUUUUUCCUAUUGUGCCUACAUAUUGCAGCAUUUGUGGUCUCUAAGAUCACCCAUUGUAGGAACAACUUUCAGUUCUCUGUGACAAUAGGGUGAGCUGAGGACAGACUGGCAAUCUUUGGAGAUGAAUUUCCUGCCCUUUGUGGGUUUCAGUUAGACUCUCAGCAUUAU